UAACCAAUUCACUACUACACUUGUAAAGCUUAUUUUUUAAAUUAAAAAUUCUGUCGUAAGAAUAGGAACAUUCAUCACACAUUUUUUUUCAAUGCGUAAGAAAGAGACGCAUAUAAAGCUAUAUGAUUUUUCUUCAACAAUGGCUGGCAUUAUUUGGAAAAAAAAUUUUGAGCAUCAAAAGGCGUUUGAAAAAAGCUUUCGACAACAGUGAUAACCAAAAAUUACUUCGCAACGCAUUUGAACGUUUAAAAGGAUAGCAUUAACUCUUUUGACUUAUUAAAAUUAUUAAUAUAUAAAAAACUAUUAAUAUAACUCAUUCACCGGUCCAGCUUAUGUGAGUCACGUGAACGUCGAAGUUAAACGUAUAUCCUACGGUUUCCGUUAGCGCACAUUACCGCAUUUCAUUAAAAUCGAUUACUGUCCUGAAUCUCGUGACUUCGUAAAGAAUUUAAAUCUUGCUGGCUUAACACCUUAGAAGUUCUCCUUUCACGAUAUGCGUGGUCGUCAAUACUGCUGUAAAACUGCUGAAACCGGUUAUAUAAUAUUUAACGUCGUCUCGUAAAGGCUAUGAGUUGGUCACGGUCAAGUACAACGGGAGAGUGCGUCAGUUGUUUCGUUACGUUACGGCGAGGAUGGUUUAGGUGGUGGAACCGUGGAGUUUAAAAUUUACAAACUGUCAAAUUAUCACAUAAAGCAUUUAAGAAGAGGUUUAAAUUGGUAGGAAACAAUCAUCUUUCGAAACAGGCCAAUAAGAACGUCAUACUUCUGUUUCAGUAUUUGAUGUGCUUCACGCCGGGCACGAAGUAUGCAGCGGAGGAGUCCUGAAUACAAGUAUCAAGACAACACAAUCAUUUUGAUUGGUUACAUGAACGUUUGGUGGAGAAUUUUUUCCUCAUUCCCAUGCCACCCUUGCCAUAUUUCUGGAUGUUACAAAGAACAACUUGUGGAGCAUAGACGGGUUCAAUUACAAGAAUAUGUAGAUUGUGUCAUCCGGUACUCCCACAAUGUGAAGUGUGGCAUCAUUUCUUGACUUAUAUCGAUGACAAGAUACGGAAAUCAGGCAAAAGGAAAGCCGAACUUGACACAUAUAUAUGAAAGACUCUUAUUGUUGCGCCACAUCACCGCCUGAAAACACAAUUCGGUACGAAAUCUCUUAGCAAUAUCCAAUUACACGGAGAAACGUUAUGUCGGAUUUGGCAAAGGCCUUAAAUAUAGACGAGCGUCUUGCACCCUCAAAAGCAACAAAGCUUUCGGAAAGUGUUGGGCGCUUCGGUGGUAUUUUCAUUAGUAUUGGCCAACUAUUUGUUUGGAUAUCUACAGAGGCAUCCUCAACAGUUUUCCUGACAUUCUCUCAACACCCAAAGGUGCAAUUCAAAAACGCAAAGAACACGAACGUUUAACCUCUGAGCAAAAGAUGAGCAAUGCAUAAAUAGUUGUUCCCCUCGAAAUCUACAAUACUUACUUUUCGCUGGUUAAAAUUAAGAGACCUUUAUUUAUAAGAGAAAAAAUUAACAAUAACGGAAUGAACAAAAUUAUCCGUGUUACUAUAUAAAGUGCUCUGAAAACUGACGAGUUAUAAAAAGAUAAAUAGGUAUUUUAUACAUUUACUAACGUAAUAUGAGAGCCAGAAAUUUAUACUUAAAAUACGCUUGGGUUGAGUACUUCAAAUCUCAAUAAUCUACUUGUUUUUGUUUAAAAAUAGUAUUAUAUUUUGUUGACGUGUUUAGCCUUUAUUAUUGGUUUUCUAUCUGAUAUUAGCUAUCCAGCCUGGCUAAACAUUCUCUAAAAUUAAUUAACGUGAUAUUCGUUUAUAUGCACUGUAAGCAGACUAAUGCCUCUGCCGAUUGUCAAAAUGUUCCUCAUGACGGAGGGUUAC